GAGACUCCGACUGUCCCGAAGGAGAAGCUGAGGCCGGAGACGCGCGUGGCCGGGCUGGUGCCGGGCAGAGCCACCGCCGGCCUCGGAGGGCGGGGCUCGCGGUCCCCAGAGCUUCGCCGCCUUCAGGUUGCGAAGUGGGGCCUCUCCGCGUCCUUCCGUUUACCCGGGAGCCAAUGACCGUGGUCCUCCCCACCCCACCGUGACCUCUGAUGAGGAGAGGAAGGGAGCAGUAUUCCAGUUCACCUUCUGUUUACUAUCCCCGCCCUGGACAGUCCACUGCCAGGGCUGCCCGACCCAAAAUCAGCUUGGGGAUCAGAUGGGCUUGGUUUGGAUUCUGCUAGAGUUACUGCCCGCCUUAGGCAGGUCACCUGGCCUCCCCGAGUCUCCAGCUCCAGACUGAAGAACAAGUGUAGCUAGACCCACCCCCAGGGACAGAGCUCUGUGUGAGCCGGUGGUGAGGCUGAGCCCAGAGCCAGCCGGGCAAGGUGGGGGGACUCGGCCCUUCCUGCUGAGACUGGGGGCCUAGGGGAUGUCAGAGUUUGCUCAGGCUCUGGGGCCUCAGGGAGGCACAGCGCCUGCUCCUUGGGGGCCACCUGCAGGGUGUGGCCAUGGCCAUGUCGUCUGGUCCUGGGUGGGGCUGACUCGCCCCUGCUGGUGCCUGGCACACAGUAGGUGCUUAGACUUGGGACUUCUUAGGACUUCCUCCUGGAGGGGCUGGCGGUCUGGGGGUACCGCUGACAUGGUCGUGGGAGCACCAAGCCCUUUGCAGUGUCUCUCGACGUCAAGUCCUGCCUUUGGCCUGACGCUGGCUCCGCGCUGCCGCCCUGGUCAGAGGGCUGGCUGCCAUGUGCAGCUCGGUGAGGAAGGGAGCCUGGCCGAAAGGGGCAGUUUUCCAGGUCGGCUGACUUCCAGGCAUGGGGCAGGGAGGUAAGAAAGGCUGGGGUUCCUGGUGACAAGGGAGGAAGUUCCCUUCCGCAGCACUGGCUGUGGAGGCACAGGCAGCGGGCACUGCGUGGGGCAGAGACGCGUCCUGCCCACCCCCGGCUUUGUCUCUUCAUCCAGGGGGCUUUCCAGGGGAUCCGUCAGCCCCGGCCGUGGGCUCUCUCCCUUUCUAGGAGCCUAGCACACAGUAGGUGCUCAGCAAACAUUUACUAAACGACCCAGCUUAGCUCAGCAUCUUCCUUUUCUGCUGGGCAGUGGAGGUGCCGGAAGAAUUAUUCACCCCCAGUGUCACCUCGUACCCACCACAGCUCUGCAGGUCAGGCCUCUUGUCUGGGAACAUGGGUGGCCUUGGCCGUGCCUGGGAGGGAAACAGUUGUAAGAGGCGGGGGAGAUUCAGGCUUUGGAAGCUGGCCUCUCUGAGCCACCGCAGCCUGGACUUCUAGGCCUGCGCCUCAGUUCUGCUGCAUCCGCGUGUCCCCGACCAGCGCACGGCAGCAGGGAAAGCUGCCCGAGACACACCUGGACCCUCGGCCUGCUCCAGCCGGUCACCACACGCUGGGCAGGAGCUGCCGGGGCCAUUCUGGGACGCCUGUCUAAUGCCCAGGGAUGACCAAGGGCCUGACAGUGAGACAGGCCUCUUUCUGGAAGCCAGCGCUGGCUUUCCGGGAUGGGGACCAGGGAAGGGCGGUGUGGCCCUGGGGUUCCUCCGCUGACCCUGACCUACCUGAGUGCUGACCCCAAUGGGAGUUGGAUUUGGCAGAGAAGGUGCUGGUGGCACUCAGGGGACUCACCAUACCAAGAUGGGUCAUGGCAGCAGAACUCUGGGGUCCCGAGCCCUCACCUGGAUUGUAAAAUCCACCCUGAUCCGGCUUGUCCCCAGCCCCCAGUCUCCGGGCCCUCGCUGGCCUGCCUCGAUCCUGACCUGCUCAGGGUGCCGUGACCUUCUCAUCCUGAGCUCCUUGCGGGCUGGUCAUUGUGGCUGGGGAGGGAAGGGAGGGGGAAGGGGGCGCAGAGGCAACAGUCUGGGGGCGUUCAUUUAAGAUUCUCCCAUGUUCCUUGGGAUUCUGAAUACCCGUUAACCCUAAAAAUACAGCCACCUCCUGCGCAUGCCCUGCGCCUGGUGCCCGCGGCUCCAGCAGGCAGCCUCAGCAGGCGCCCGCUUCCUGGGUGAGUCGGACUCCAGGCCACCGGGUCUGGUCCCAGACUCUCCUUUUUAAAGAGAGACUCUGAGAGGGAGACGGAGAGGGAGGCAGCCAGCACAGAAGAAAGAGGGCUUCUCUGGGGCUGGGCCUCUGGCCCCAACUUUGGCCCAGGGGGCGCGGGUGGGGGGUGGCACCUGCCUCCCUGGGCCUGUCUCCUUCGAGAGUAAAAGCAAGGAGUGGGCGCUGCUCCCUGAGGCCCCUGUGAGCACACGGCCGGUGCCCUCUGGUAAAGGCUUGCUCCAGUGGCAUGAGGGCACAGCACGGACCCCGAGGUCAUGCCUCAGGGUCAGACAUGGCCCCUCCUGAAGGGGAGUGUAGGUCCCUGCACCCCCAGGCAGGCUGGAGGGGAACGUGCCUCCACUGAGGGCAGCACUCCAGAAAGCCUCGGCGCCCAGCUCCCAAAGGACUCUUCCAGAGCGCCCAGCCCGCGGCUCCCGCCUCCAUGAACCGGGCGCCAGGGCCUGGGACGCAGCCUGAUCAGCGAGGGAAGUGGGACAGCUGGGCGCGCGCUGGUGGUGGAGACGAGGGGUCACAGAGUUUACAGAGUCUUCCCUGAAGCACCCACAAGUAGAAGUCUCUAUAUAUCUGUAUUUAUAUUUAUACAUAUAUAAUACUCAGACGCUCUACUGAGGAAAAGCACACAUCUACAGGUUCCUCCCGGGCAGUCCUUCUGUCCCGCCAGAAUCCGUAGAGCUAACCACAGGGCAGCCGGUCCUGGGCCUGUGGCCGAGGGGCCUACGGUGUGGACACCCUGCGGGCAUCUGCCGGCUCAUCCAAGCCCUGCAGCCGCCCUCACGCCCUUCUCCCAGGGCCUGGCUCAGUUCCCGUUACCCCUCCCAGAGCCUCCUGGAGACUCCGUGUCACUCGAGGGGCACCUGCAGUCUCCCCAUCGUGCUCUGCCAGGACUGCCUGCGUGGCCUGGGCGUGGGCAGAGGGCCUGG